UUGAGUGGUUAAUUUGAUUGUUUUCAUUUUAGCUAUGCAAGAGAAUCCAACAAAUUAAUAGACCUUCCAGAUGACUACAGCUGUCUCAUUAAUCAAGCAUCUAAUUUCUCGUGUCCGAAAUCAGGUGGUGAUAAAAGCAGAG